UGAUUCAAAUUAAUUAAAUUAAUGUACUCCGUACUUCAUCGAAAAAACACUCGUUUCUUUCCCCUUUGUCAGUGGCACCAUUUUCUCUCUCUUCCAGCUAUAUUCAAGCUUUCUCACCUCAAUCAUCAGCUCUAAUUGUAGGAAUUUGCUACAAUUUACACUCUCUUUCAAUCAAUUGUUGAAUGCGCUGCAAAAUUUCUGAACGAUGAAGGUUAUUAUGGCAUUGAUAAGCUGUUGCUGAUAUAUAUAUAUAUAUAUAUAUAUAUGGGUUUGCAAAAGUGGGAUUCGGGUUUGAAGAAAAAUAAUGCAACUUAUAAUCAAUGAUUGUGGGAGACUGAGAGACAUAACGGGUGCAUUACAGCGUCUCUCUUGCCUUAAGGAUGUGAAGCUUUGGCAUUGUGAAAAAGUGGAUUUGUGGGAUGUCAAGAAUGAUGAUGAUGGUGAAGAUGAGGCUAUUAGUGGCAGGUCGUUUGCUUUGCAAAGCCUGAAGUGCCUUAGCUCCUUGAGCUUGUAUUUAAUCUCAAAACUGAAAUAUCUUCCUAGGAGCCUAUGCUAUAUAUAUCACAAAUCUUCAAGAAAUUUACAUUGAUGAGCUCUCUGAAUUAAGGGUGGGGCCUACCAGAAUGGUUUGGCAACGUAACCCAGCUUCGGUGGUUGUCAAUAAGGAAUUGCCAUAACUUGGUGGCGCUCCCAGAAUCUUUUUGGGAACUCACUGCAUUACAAGAGCUUAAUAUUUGGAAAUGUACAGAACUUGAGAAAAGGUGUGAAUGGCCAGAUGGUCAAGAUCGGUCCCUUAUACCAUCCACUGGCAAGUACAUAUCCCUACUUUCAUUUUCACCGUUAAUAUGCUCUUUUUGCAUUAGUAGUGCUUAAAAUAGGUUGAUGUCUGUGUUGUUUGUCAAAAAACAUUUAUAAUUAUAUAAUAUGGUUGCAGAAGCUGUCAGUGCUAUUUGUUGUUUUUAUGUUACAUGAUUUUACUAUUUGAUUGUCUAUUAUCCA